rnacentral:rRNA from 2 species
GUUCGGACCGACACACAACGACUCUCGGCAACGGAUAUCUCGGCUCUCGCAUCGAUGAAGAACGUAGCGAAAUGCGAUACUUGGUGUGAAUUGCAGAAUCCCGUGAACCAUCGAGUCUUUGAACGCAAGUUGCGCCCGAAGCCGUCAGGUUGA